GGACGAGAACUUUUUUCUUGCCAUUCCAGAUGCCGCGCUAGAAGCUUUAAAUUUUGAACAAGAUGGAAGUCAAAACCACCCAAUAGGUUUUCCUGAAAUUACAGACGAAGAUAAUGGAACACGCCGAAAAAAUGUACCUUGUUCCUAGCCACCAGUUAGAACAAAUAAAGCGGGCUUCUAGCGGUGAAGAAAAUAUCAGAACCACAACCACUCGCCAAUUGGAUUCAGAAAUGAAAGACAUUCUUCAAAGAACCGGUUUAUCCGACUACGAAAAGGCUAAACUCUACGAGGCAG